GCACUGACCUGCUAGCCCCAGCACUGACCUGCUAGCCCCAGCACUGACCUGCUAGCCCCAGCACUGACCUGCUAGCCCCAGCACUGACCUGCUAGCCCCAGCACUGACCUGCUAGCCUCAGCACUGACCUGCUAGCCCCAGCACUGACCUGCUAGCCAUAUAACAGAUCUUCCCAUUGCACUUCUCUGUUAGCAUUAACACUGAUCUGAAAGCCAUAGUAAUCGACUGCUAGCCAAACACCUGCAGCCUUAGCAUUGAGUCUCAAUACCAGUCUGCUAGAAUGUGUAUUUGUUGUAGCAGACUCAGGGUUUAUGGGAGGGCGUUCUGCUUGAUGUGCUACCGUGUAUGUUUAUCACAUGUAGAGCAUGUGCUUGGUGCUGCUCAGAGCUAGUGAAAAUAAAGUAAUGUUAUAAAGUCAUUCUACUGUUAUAAAGUCAUUCUACUGUUAUAAAGUCAUGUUAUAAAGUCAUUCUACUGUUAUAAAGUCAUUAUCAAGUCAUUCUACUGUUAUGAAGUCAUGUUAUAAAGUCAUUCUACUGUAAUAAAGUCAUGUUAUAGUCA